rnacentral:rRNA from 1 species
UACGUAGGGGGCAAGCGUUGUCCGGAAUCAUUGGGCGUAAAGCGCGUGUAGGCGGCUUGGUAAGUCUGCUCUGAAAGCCCGGGGCUCAACCCCGGGAGGCGGGUGGAUACUUCUCUGCUUGAGCACUGUAGAGGCAGGUGGAAUUCCGGGUGUAGCGGUGGAAUGCGUAGAGAUCCGGAAGAACACCGGUGGCGAAGGCGGCCUGCUGGGCAGUAGCUGACGCUGAGGCGCGACAGCGUGGGGAGCAAACAGG